AGUGAACGCUGGCGGUAGGCCUAACACAUGCAAAUCGAACGGCAGCACAGUAAGAGCUUGCUCUUACGGGUGGCGAGUGGCGGACGGGUGAGGAAUACAUCGGAAUCUACUUUUUCGUGGGGGAUAGCGUAGGGAAACUUACGCUAAUACCGCAUACGACCUACGGGUGAAAGCAGGGGAUCUUCGGACCUUGCGCGAUUGAAUGAGCCGAUGUCGGAUUAGCUAGUUGGCGGGGUAAAGGCCCACCAAGGCGACGAUCCGUAGCUGGUCUGAGAGGAUGAUCAGCCACACUGGAACUGAGACACGGUCCAGACUCCUACGGGAGGCAGCAGUGGGGAAUAUUGGACAAUGGGCGCAAGCCUGAUCCAGCCAUACCGCGUGGGUGAAGAAGGCCUUCGGGUUGUAAAGCCCUUUUGUUGGGAAAGAAAAGCAGCAGGUUAAUACCCCGCUGUUCUGACGGUACCCAAAGAAUAAGCACCGGCUAACUUCGUG
rnacentral:rRNA from 1 species